rnacentral:lncRNA from 1 species
GGGGUGGGAGGGGGGCGAAAAUAACCUAGCCAGUUGAGGAAUCAGGCAUAUCAGAUCAUGAAGAAAUCAGGCGUAUCGGAUCAUGAACAGCACUGACGAAUCAACUGCAGAGGUCAAGGAUGAAGUGAAGUUGGAAGGAAGGCGAGGUGUGGGUUUUAGGGAAACGGAGAAGCGAGCAAGAAGAAUUUAGGAUGGGCGGGAAGACGGCGAAGUGGCAACCGGAAUUAACCCUUCUAAAACAAUCUCCAAGUCACCAUAUGCAAAUUCAUC